CCUACGUGAGGCAGCAGUGGGGAAUAUUGGGCAAUGGGCGCAAGCCUGACCCAGCAACGCCGCGUGAAGGAAGAAGGCUUUCGGGUUGUAAACUUCUUUUCUCAGGGACGAAGCAAGUGACGGUACCUGAGGAAUAAGCCACGGCUAACUACGUGCCAGCAGCCGCGGUAAUACGUAGGUGGCAAGCGUUAUCCGGAUUUACUGGGUGUAAAGGGCGUGUAGGCGGGAAAGCAAGUCAGAUGUGAAAACCAUGGGCUCAACCUGUGGCCUGCAUUUGAAACUGUUUUUCUUGAGUACUGGAGAGGCAGACGGAAGUCCUAGUGUAGCGGUGAAAUGCGUAGAUAGUAGGAGGAACACCAGUGGCGAAGGCGGUCUGCUGGACAGCAACUGACGCUGAGGCGCGAAAGCGUGGGGAGCAAACAGGAUUAGAUACCCCAGUAGUC
rnacentral:rRNA from 1 species